UGGCGGACGGGUGAGUAACGCGUGGGUAACCUGCCUCAUACAGGGGGAUAACAGUUAGAAAUGACUGCUAAUACCGCAUAAGACCACAGCACCGCAUGGUGCGGGGGUAAAAACUCCGGUGGUAUGAGAUGGACCCGCGUCUGAUUAGCUAGUUGGUAAGGUAACGGCUUACCAAGGCGACGAUCAGUAGCCGACCUGAGAGAGUGACCGGCCACAUUGGGACUGAGACACGGCCCAA
rnacentral:rRNA from 1 species